UACGUAGGUGGCAAGCGUUGUCCGGAUUUACUGGGCGUAAAGAGCGCGCAGGCGGUCGUUCAAGUCGCGUGUGAAAGCCCCCGGCUCAACUGGGGAGGGUCACGCGAUACUGAUCGACUCGAAGGCAGGAGAGGGUAGUGGAAUUCCCGGUGUAGUGGUGAAAUGCGUAGAUAUCGGGAGGAACACCCGUGGCGAAGGCGGCCUGCUGGGCUGACCCUGACACUGAGGCGCGAAGGCGUGGGGAGCGAACGGG
rnacentral:rRNA from 1 species